UUCCAGACUCCUACGGGAGGCAGCAGUGAGGAAUAUUGGUCAAUGGGCGAGAGCCUGAACCAGCCAAGUCGCGUGAGGGAGUACUGCCCUAUGGGUUGUAAACCUCUUUUGUCGGGGAGCAAAAGCCGGACGUGUCCGGCUGUGAGAGUACCCGAAGAAAAAGCAUCGGCUAACUCCGUGCCAGCAGCCGCGGUAAUACGGAGGAUGCGAGCGUUAUCCGGAUUUAUUGGGUUUAAAGGGUGCGCAGGCGGAAUGUCAAGUCAGCGGUAAAAUUUCGGGGCUCAACCCCGUCGUGCCGUUGAAACUGGCGUUCUUGAGUGAGCGAGAAGUAUGCGGAAUGCGUGGUGUAGCGGUGAAAUGCAUAGAUAUCACGCAGAACUCCGAUUGCGAAGGCAGCAUACCGGCGCUCAACUGACGCUCAUGCACGAAAGCGUGGGUAUCGAACAGGAUUAGAUACCCGAGUAAA
rnacentral:rRNA from 1 species